UCCUAAAAAGCAGGGAGAAGGUUCGUUACGAUUCAAUCAGUUCAUCCCCGAGCUUUGAUGCUGUGGUGCAUGGAGGGCGUGUGUGAGGCUGCAGGCCUAGGUCAUCUGUGAACGUUGUGGAUCCGUGCCUGGAGAAUUUACACCAAUGAUGUGGACUGUCAGGUGACUGUGGUCAUGCUAAGUCGCGGAGGUACUGUCCCCAGCACAAGUUAUUGUCAGAAUAAACCAUAUUAGCACAGUGCUGUCGUUUCCCAUCGUUUCUUACCCCAAUACUAUCUCAUUUGACUCUAUUUCCCAAGGAUCUCGUAGUGCCAACUCCAAAAGCAAGGAUCAUCCUAAAGGUUUACUUAGGAGAAUGCAGUAUAUAAAAUCCUUGGUGACUCAUAAAUACCAAUUCAUAAGCUUUUAAUACAAUCAACUGCUAACAAUUUAUCAAUACAUCUGCCGGUAUACAGAAGACAAGAGCACUAUUCUGGGAAGGGGGACUCCCCACGAAGGAAGGUGAUCCCCGGGAGCACUAAAUGAGACUCUCAGAAAGGAAAUACACUGAUGUGAAUCAGAGUGCCGACCUCAGAAACUCUACGACGACUCACAAGAGCCCAGAGCCCGGCUCGGCACGGACAUGCUGAGUGAACGUUUGAGCCAAAGGGAACAGCCGGAGGGAAGGUGGCGUCUGCUGGCGUCUGAGCCCUGGGUCCUCAGAUGCGUCAUUCCCUAGCAAUACACACAGAUGCUGGUUACGCACGCUCUUCACACUCCGGCUGGCCCUUCAAACGCCCACUGACCUCAGUGAGAUCUAUGGCCAGAUGUUCCGCCCACAGCGAAGGAGAUGAACUCACAGUUGCGACCUGGUUGGGAGCAUGGACAGACUCCCACUGGCCAAAUGUGAGGUAAUUUCAACAUUAAAGAACAAUGGCUGAAAGUUGUUUUAACACAUGGAAUAUGCAAAAAUCUAUAAAAAAGAAAGAUCAUUUGCCAGAACUGCAUGUGACUAUUGCCCAGACUCCUUACUGUGAAAAUUGGUAAAGAAAAAGGACUAAGCAUUCAUCGUACCUUUUUAGGAAGACCUGUAAUCAGCAAUCAUCCCCAGGUGGUGAAGAAAAGCUCUUCGUUAGAGGAGAAUGCCAGCUAAUAAAUGGAGAAGAAAAGUAAUUUAGAAAUCGCCAUUUUGCCACCUUCAAUCAAAUCACAGAUCCAGGCAAGGGUGGAUGCAAACACCACUAGGUAAAAAGCUAAUGAGGAAAUAAGGUAUUCAAAUGGUGCCAAAGGGUGACUCAAAGAUGACCUGCAAAUUGAAAUGGGAAAAACACACUUUGGCUGUCACCCUCCUUAACCUAAGGUCCGACUCAGUAUUCCAGCGAUGGGACAACCCGACAUCCUAGUGCCUACCUCCUCCUGUGCCAUGGCCUGGGUGCGGUGCCUUCUGUGAAACAGUCCUGCCAAAAAAGGUUUAACCAGAACCUGGUCCGGCCUCUAGACCUGGUUUCCAGUCUCCAGGGAAUUCAAGGGCCAGACUCGGGAACAAAUCAGGCACCACCACAAGGGAACAAUCUGACAAAUACAGACUGUGAGACAAGCCAAGUGGCUUGGUGUCAAAAAAAAAAAAAAAAAAAAAAAAAAGUGUUAGGAGGAAAGAAAAGAGAAGGGGUUUAUUCUUGAAUAAAAAGACAGAGGAGACAUAAUUAUAAAAUGCAAUGUGUUUGAAAAAAGCAACUACAGAGAUGUUGAGACACAAGGGGACAAGCUGAAUAAUGACAAGAUUCCUAAUGGAGCGGGUGCUUUCUGAGAAAUACUGUGAAUUGUCUCAGGUGGGAAAAUGCCAUUCUUGGGAGGGGACUCUGAAGUAUUCAGGGUAGAGGACCAUGACAUCUGCCACUUGCUCAGACAGGGUUUGGCAGAAAAUACAUGUGCAGCAUGGCAACAUCUGCUGAAUCUACGUUAUGGUUACACGGAUGUUUGGUUAUUGAGCCUUACAACUGUUCUGUAUGUUUAAUUUUGUUCAUAAUUAAAAAGUUAAAAGAGAAGCCAGCUGCCCACAGGAAGGAAAAAGUUCCCUACUUGUGCCAAUACGACUGUUCCAAUCUGUGUAAA